AUACUUUAGGAGGCCGGCGUUAGCCCAAGCGGAGGAAAGAACGGGCAACGGUAGGUCAGUACGCCCCGAAUGNUCCGGGCAACACGCGGGCUACAAUGGUCGAGACAAUGGGAGGCGACCCCGAGAGGUGGAGCUAAUCUCCUAAACUCGAUCGUAGUUCGGAUUGAGGGCUGAAACUCGCCCUCAUGAAGCUGGAUUCGGUAGUAAUCGCG
rnacentral:rRNA from 1 species